rnacentral:lncRNA from 1 species
AAACAAAUGAAAUGAAAUAAAAAGGAAGUCCCUAGGGGGUCACCCCACCCCCUCUUGUUUGAAAACUUGUAAACGAUCAACAUCCCCACCCCUAAACCAUAUAUAUUCUUGUAUGGGACAAUAAAACUAAUCAAAUGAAAUUAAAUGGAAGUUCCUGGGGGUCACCCCCACCCUGAUCAAUUUGAGAAUGUACUAUUAUCUUGUAAAUGGUCCAGAUCCCCACCCCUAAACCAUAUAUAUUCUUGUAGGGGACAAUAAAACAAAUGAAAUGAAAUAAAAGGGAAGUCCCGAGGGGGUCACCCCACCCCGUCUUGUUUGUAAACUUGUAAACGGUCAACAUCCCC